rnacentral:tRNA from 1 species
GUGUGGCUCAGUGGUUAGAGCGUCAGCCUGCGCGGACUGAAGGGUCCCGGGUUCGAUUCACGGACACACA